GAUGAACGCUGGCGGCGUGCCUAAUACAUGCAAGUCGAGCGAACAGACGAGGAGCUUGCUCCUCUGACGUUAGCGGCGGACGGGUGAGUAACACGUGGAUAACCUACCUAUAAGACUGGGAUAACUUCGGGAAACCGGAGCUAAUACCGGAUAAUAUAUUGAACCGCAUGGUUCAAUAGUGAAAGACGGUUUUGCUGUCACUUAUAGAUGGAUCCGCGCCGCAUUAGCUAGUUGGUAAGGUAACGGCUUACCAAGGCGACGAUGCGUAGCCGACCUGAGAGGGUGAUAGGCCACACUGGAACUGAGACACGGUCCAGAAUCCUAAGGGAGGCAGCAGUAGGGAAUCUUCAGCAAUGGGCGAAAGCCUGACGGAGCAACGCCGCGUGAGUGAUGAAGGUCUUCGGAUCGUAAAACUCUGUUAUUAGGGAAGAACAAAUGUGUAAGUAACUAUGCACGUCUUGACGGUACCUAAUCAGAAAGCCACGGCUAACUACGUG
rnacentral:rRNA from 1 species